rnacentral:rRNA from 1 species
GCCCAGACAGCCAGGAUGUUGGCUUAGAAGCAGCCAUCAUUUAAAGAAAGCGUAAUAGCUCACUGGUCGAGUCGGCCUGCGCGGAAGAUGUAACGGGGCUAAACCAUGCACCGAAGCUGCGGCAGCGACGCUUAUGCGUUGUUGGGUAGGGGAGCGUUCUGUAAGCCUGCGAAGGUGUGCUGUGAGGCAUGCUGGAGGUAUCAGAAGUGCGAAUGCUGACAUAAGUAACGAUAAAGCGGGUGAAAAGCCCGCUCGCCGGAAGACCAAGGGUUCCUG